CCUACGGGCGACAGCAGUCGAGAAUCAUUCACAAUGGGGGAAACCCUGAUGCUGCGACGCCGCGUGGGGGAUUGAAGGUCUUCGGUUUGUAAACCCCUGUCAUGUGGGAGCAAAUUAAAUAGAUAGUACCACAAGAGGUAGAGACGGCUAACUCAGUGCCAGCAGCCGCGGUAAUACGGAGGUCGCAAGCGUUGUUCGGAGUCACUGGGCGUAAAGCGUGCGUAGGCGGUAUGUAAAGUCGUGUGUGAAAGGCGCGGGCUCAACCCGGGGACGGCACCUGAUACUGCGAGACUGGAGUGAGGGAGAGGGAAGUGGAAUUCGCGGUGUAGGAGUGAAAUGCGUAGAUAUCGGGAGGAACACUCGUGGCGAAGGCGAGUACCUGGACAUUAACUGACGCUGAGGCACGAAGGCGAGGGGAGCAAAAGGGAUUAGAUACCCUAGUAGUC
rnacentral:rRNA from 1 species